GCUGGGUGGGAUGGCGCACACCUGUAAUCUCAGCGACCCUGGAGGCUGAGGCAGGAGGAUCACAAAUUUAAGGGCAGCCUUGGCAACUUAGUGAGACCCUGUGUCCA
rnacentral:sRNA from 1 species